rnacentral:lncRNA from 1 species
GAGACCUGAAUGCUUGCCAAAGCGCUCCCGGUGUCCCGUCAGGACUGCACUGACCCAGGCCCACCUUGCAUGUGCCACAGGAAUUUCUCCUGGGAACAGCCCCUUGCAAGGCCUCAUCAACUGUCUGAAGGAAAUCCUUGUGCCUGCGCCCCGGCACCCCGAGACAUCCCCAAGCUUCUUGCCACCUCUCCCUAGCCUGGGCACGUCCAGGCUAACCAGAGCAGACCUGGGGCCUGGGAGCCCGCCCUGGGCAGUGAAGACCGAGGCGGUUUCAGGGGAUUGUCCCCUCCAGGGUCUGCUAAACUGUCUGAAGGAGCUCCCCGAGGCC